rnacentral:rRNA from 1 species
UACGGGGGGAGCAAGCGUUGUUCGGAUUUACUGGGCGUAAAGGGCGCGUAGGCGGUCGUGACAAGUCACUUGUGAAAUCUCCGGGCUUAACUCGGAACGGUCAAGUGAUACUGUCGGACUAGAGUGCAGAAGGGGCAACUGGAAUUCUCGGUGUAGCGGUGAAAUGCGUAGAUAUCGAGAGGAACACCUGCGGCGAAGGCGGGUUGCUGGGCUGACACUGACGCUGACAGCGCGAAAGCUAGGGGAGCGAACGGG